UGAGUAACCUGCCCCCUUCCUUGGGAUAACCGCCGGAAACGGUGGCUAAUACCGGAUAUACACCUGCGGUCGCAUGGUUGUUGGUGGAAAGUUUUUCGGUGGGGGAUGGGCUCGCGGCCUAUCAGCUUGUUGGUGGGGUGAUGGCCUACCAAGGCUUUGACGGGUAGCCGGCCUGAGAGGGCGACCGGCCACACUGGGACUGAGACACGGCCCAGACUCCUACGGGAGGCAG
rnacentral:rRNA from 1 species